rfam:Burkholderia sp. RPE64 DNA, chromosome 1, complete genome.
UGUCUCCUCCAUGUCUCCUCCUGAUAUGGAUUCAGCCCGCCAACUAGGCGGGCUUUUUUUU